AAAGCACCGCUGCCAUUUGUAGAGCAUGGCUGCAGCUGUGGGAAAGCUCUGCUCUUUGUGCCAAACUGUGGGUUGUUCACCUUUCUAAUCGAGCUAUGGAUAUUUCUACCCCUUCAGUCCAUGAUUCACACAAGCCUUAUUUUCUUCAGCAUUAAAUUCUGCUGCACUUAGGGUCCUGGGAGGGUAGAGAUCCUUGCUGAAACCAGCCGGCUCCUGCUCUACAAUAACCUUCUGGAUGCUAUUUAAACUGCAUUCUUUUUGCAUGCGAUAGCUUAAAGGCACCAGUUUACAGUGAAUUUGUAGAGAUUUAUCUACUUUUUGGCAUGGUAGAGGAGCGUACCCUCCUUUACACCACCUUACUGUGGUGUAAAAUAACUUGUUUGGGUGGCACGUGAGCAGAGAGCAGCAGCAGUUUUAGUGUUGUGGGCUAGGUUUGUGACAUAGACCAAAAUUCUAUCAGUCUGUCAGGAGAUGUGCUAGCAGGCAGCUCACAGUCUGGAAAGGCAACGUAGCUAACAGCUGCAGGUCAUCAGGAGACAUGUUUGGUCCUAACUACCACUUGCUGGACUACCUUCUACCUGGAAUGGCUGCUCCUGUAGACGUUCAAGCUGAAUCUGCAUCCAAAACCCAUAAGCACAGCUCCCCGUCCCCAAGUGAAAAUGGAAGUUGAGAUGAAACCAGGAUUGAUAAAGGUUCUGAGAACAAGCAUUGCAUUCAGCUGAACAUUUGUCAUUGCCCCUCAAAGGAGGUGCAAGGAGAAGCACAGAUCCAACAGUGUUGCUCAAGUUCCUUUGCAGUAAACACGGAGAGCACGGGAGCUCUAGUGCUGACCCGAGGGAGGGAAGGGGUGCAGCCAGAGCUGCACUCAAAGAAGUCAUGUAACUAGGUAAUAACAGAUGAAAGAGGAUCCAUCAAAAAGUGUGUGUGCUUUUAUGGGAAAAAGUAUCUGACCUCAUCUUUCAAGAAUACCAUCCUCAAAGUUUUUGUCUAUCAGCUCACACAAGGAAAAAUAAAUCUCUGUACAGAAGGAAGAAGGUAAGCCUU
rnacentral:lncRNA from 1 species